UAAGGAAUAUUGGACAAUGGAGGCAACUCUGAUCCAGCCAUGCCGCGUGAAGGAAUAAGGCCCUAUGGGUUGUAAACUUCUUUUAGACGGGACAAAACCCCUUUACGUGUAAAGGGUUGAUGGUACUGUCAGAAUAAGCAUCGGCUAACUUCGUGCCAGCAGCCGCGGUAAUACGAAGGAUGCAAGCGUUAUCCGGAAUUAUUGGGUUUAAAGGGUGCGUAGGCGAACUAAUAAGUCAGUGGUGAAAGCCUGCAGCUUAACUGCAGAAUUGCCAUUGAUACUGUUAGUCUUGAGUACAGUUGAGGUAGGCGGAAUGUGUCAUGUAGCGGUGAAAUGCUUAGAUAUGACACAGAACACCGAUUGCGAAGGCAGCUUGCUAAGCUGUAACUGACGCUGAGGCACGAAAGCGUGGGGAGCAAACA
rnacentral:rRNA from 1 species